AUUAAAGUGGCAGAAACCAAAUGCUAGGAAUUUAAGCUUCCUUUAUGAAAAAUUUCCUUUAAUA
rnacentral:tRNA from 1 species